CGGACUGGUGAGUAACGCGUGAGGAACCUGCCUUUCGGAGGGGGACAACAAUUGGAAACGACUGCUAAUACCGCAUGAUACAUUUGGGCCGCAUGGUCUGAAUGUCAAAGAUUUAUCGCCGAAAGAUGGCCUCGCGUCUGAUUAGCUAGUUGGUGGGGUAACGGCCCACCAAGGCGACGAUCAGUAGCCGGACUGAGAGGUUGGCCGGCCACAUUGGGACUGAGAUACGGCCCAGACUCCUACGGGAGGCAGCAG
rnacentral:rRNA from 1 species